UAGAGUAGACACCGACAAUGGAAUUGUAUACUAGCAUUUGUCUGUAACCAACAUAGCUACACGAUUAUAUUUCGCCGACAAUAUAUAUAAUAGCCACAAGGAUCACGAUAUUUUGAGGAAAUUGUGAGGAAAGGCGAAAUUUAAAAGAAACCUACACACAUUAGGACAGUGCGGAGUUCGCGACGAGUGAAAUUGGUUAGUGCAUCAAUAGCAAUAGCAAUCGAUAGCUAUAACUAAGAUAAAUAUAAGAAGGACAGUAUGGUAAUUCAGAGAAAGGGAUCCUUGUCCCCUAUCACACACUUGCAGAGGAUCCUGAUGAGCAGACCAUAGAAGAUUUGACUCACAUUAUGUCACUUACAGCUGUAUAUGCUUACUCAAGACAUGAAGAGGUAUGCUGCUAUUGUGGUUAUAAAUGCUGAGCAUAGCAAUUUAGAAAUAACUCGAUUUUUAAAAGGUCUUUCGUCUACAAAGUUUUUAAGGAGCUACAGACUGAAUAUGGAAACGUAUCACCAGUGUCAAAGCAUACACAUCGCUUUCUAAAUGCUCUAAAAUCAUCAGAACACCUGAAUUUGUCCAGAUCAUUGCUUACAAUUCCAGAAAGUCCAUGAGGUCAAUUGCAAAAUAUCUCCAUGUGUCAGAAAGAACAGUUAGAAAUGUCCAUGAAGACAUCAGAUAUAAGACUUAUAUGAUGAAGAAAAUUCAGUUUAUCAGAAAAAGCAAAAGAAAAUGACUACAUCAGAUCUACAAAGUUCUUAAGCUGAGAAAUCCAGAAGGAGAUUUCAUUUGGUCCUUCUCAAUCGAGAAAUGAUUUAACAGAAAAAAUGACAGAUAGCUAUGUGCAAACCCUUCUGAAGUUCCAAGUGUUAUACAAAUAAAAUUACCUGCGACUGGCAUGGUUUUAGGGGUUUUCAGCAAUGAAGGACAUGUAAUGCCUCCUUAAUUCUUUCCAUAAGGGCUUAGAAUUAACUCUACCGCCUACAUUGAGGUAAUACUGGGAUAGAUGGCUGGAUAUGUUGAUGAUCACAUAACCCCUAGCAUUUGGCCUCCUGAUUUCUCAGAUCUCAAUCCAUAGAACUAUUACAUGUGCAGCGAUGUUGAGAGAGGCCAAUGAAAACGCUCAUAACACCAAAGAUUCUAUGCCACAGUCAGAAUAAUGUCCAAAAUGAACGAGGACCACACGAU